rnacentral:lncRNA from 10 species
GGUCAGCAGCUUAAUUCUUUCUCUGGGCACGAGCAGCCUGAGCUGUGUCCUGGCUCCCCUCUGUUCAUCUGCAAAGACGGACAGCUCUGUCUCUCUCUUUCUCUGGGUUCCAGCACGCCUGUACAGUGUCAGCAAGGCAAUUAUGUCUUUACAGACAAUAGUGGCUUAGAGCCAAGUGAUAAGCCUUCCCGUGUUAUGGCUACAUGGCUGUGAUAACAGGUGGAGUUAUACGCCUGCACUGUAAACUCGCUGAGUCACUCUGGAUGUAUACCUCGGCCUGUGCUUGACCAAAGCACAGCCAUGUUCCUUGCAGCAAUUCAGCUCCGCGUACUGUGCCGUCACUGUAUUCCAGUACCUGUAACCUAAACAGCUUUCUGUGCCCUGCUAUUCAACGAGGUGUCUUCAGGGGAAGGUGUCAUGAUGAAUGUCCAGUGCUCUGGGCAUCUCCGAGUUCAGCCAGAUGUUGAUACAGGUGGCCAGAGAGAUCGUUUGCCCAAGGUCACACAGUACGAGGUAGAAGUUGGUAUUUUCAUCUAGCCAACCUAUCUGAUUACAAAGGGAUCCCCUCGCAGUACCUGGGC